GGCAGAGAGCAGGAGACACGUGGUUUGAUAAAGAGAUAAAUUGCGGCUCGGGCUCAUUAACGACCUCUCUUCCUUGUUGCGGUGAUGCAGGUCGGACGUGAGGUGCUGGAGAGACGAGAACUGACGAGGAUUUCAGAACCUGGGUGUGUCCAAGGUGAUGGAUCCUUCAUGAGCUCUGGCUGCUGGGUUUCCUCAGGUGGAAAUGUUGUGAUUUUAACCUGUUAGCAGUCGGACGUACCGCCCACGGUACAUUGGAUGGUUUAGGGGACUAAUUGGUUACGUACAAAAACUUAUCAAAAAAGAAGCUAAACAUGUUAUAUAUAUUUGGAAAGCUGAGAUUCUCGUGAUUCGAACGAUGUAAAGCAUUUCAAGAUAGAAUCAACAUAGCAGGUACAAUUAGUGUUUAUGUCAGGCUGCCAACAUCGAAAAAAAACAAUAACAAUAAGGUCUGUACUCACAUAUAAAGCCCUGUUAGUCCACUGGUUCAUAAUAUUCCAACAAAAACGGUGUAGUUAGACUGCCAAGAGUCCAGGCAAUCCAAAUCAGUCCAAUAUUUAGUCUCUGAGACAUUUAUAUGUUGAUAAACAUCCACUGAAUGUAAUAGUAUUGUUUCAAAGUAGCCGGCGAAUAAUCCUAUUUUCGGUGCUUCCUGAAGCAUUAGCAGAUCUUGACAUGUAAAUAUUCCGGGUAUUUUGAUUUCAAAAUGGCCGCUGACCUCUGCACUUUCGAUUGACACCUCAUUUGAACCAAUGGGUGCUUCACACAGGUGUGAACAAGCAGCGAUAGCCAAACACAGCUGGUGGUCAGCGGUCUGGCCAGCCCCCCUUUGAUGGGCAGUAACUUCUUCCAAUUGUGGCAGAGUGUCAAAAUGAUUGGCGUAUCAGAUAGCCAAUGAUCUUUAAAGAAGAUUGAUAUGCAGCUUAAGGGGGAGGACACUUGUUUUUCCCCUUUUAUUUGCAUGCGCAAAAGGUUUUUGUCACUCGUGCGCUUUUGCGUAAACUUUCAUAGCGACGACAGCACUCGUGCGCUUUUGCGUAAACUUUCAUAGCGACGACAGCGUCUGUGUUCAUACAGCAUUUUGAGAGAACUUGCGACCAAAGGAGCUUUGUAAGUACAAAAUGGCAAAGAGGAAAACUUACUUCUCACUGGAAGAAGUCCUCGAACAAUGCACUCGGCGUGACAGUGAUCAGUCGGAGGAAGAUAUUUCCGAAGAAGACAGUGAUGUUUCCUUUGUUGACUCGGUAGCAGAGGAUAUUUUUUUGGAUGGAGGAGACGCUACUCUCGACAUUACAGAGGAACACGAUGACAGCAUUUCGUCAGAAGAGGAGCCACAUCCUUCCACUUUCCAAAGAGUUUCUGGAAGCAGAAGGCCAAGAGGGAGGGGAAGAGGGAGAACUGGCAGCAGUCAAGCUGAGAUGCCAGCCAGUACAUCUGAAGAGGGAUGGAAUGAUACAGAUGCUCCAGACAUAAUACCACCACAGCCCACCUUCAGGCCCAUCAAAUCACCAGGACCUCAGAUCAUACCUACAGCUUCAUACACACUUUUACAGCUUUUUCAACUUUAUUUCACAAACUCCAUGUUGCUGACAAUAAUUAAAAACACAAAUGACUUUGGAUCAACAUGCCACAAGCCCUCUAACCCAUGGAUUGACUUGACUUUACAGGACAUGUAUGCUUUUAUGGCCAUGGUGAUUUAUAUGGGUCUGGUCAAACUCCCUGCAAUCACUGAUUACUGGCGAGGUAGUAAACUGUACAGCCUUCCAUUCCCUAAAAAAAUAAUGUGUGGUAAGAAGUUUCAAAGGAUCUGCCGCUCCCUUCACCUAAGCAGUUUGGAGGACAAUGCUGCUAAUGAGCAGAGAAGAGGUACGGCAGAUUUUGACCGUCUCUGCGAAAUAAAACCAUUAUACACGGAGAUGAGGGAGGUCUGUAAAAUACACUAUAACCCUGGCCAAGAAAUUUCCAUUGACGAGCGAAUGGUUGCCUCCAAAGCACGUAUUGGAAUAAAGCAAUACAUGAAAAAUAAGCCUGUUCGCUGGGGAUACAAACUUUUUGUUUUGGCAGAUUCGAGCAACGGAUAUACAUGGGACUUUUUCGUGUAUGAAGGGAAGCUGCAGGGAAACAGUGGCAAGGGACUAAGUUAUGAAUCCGUGAUGGAGCUUAUCGAUACACGGUUGCUUGGCACAGGAUACAAACUUUUUGUAGAUAAUUUUUAUAGUAGUCCCUCCCUUUUCUGUGACCUCCUUCAGAAGAGGAUCUGGGCAUGUGGAACAAUACGAACAAAUAGAAUUGGAUUUCCAAAAACCAAAAAAAAUUGCCUGGACUCUAAAUCUCCCCGUGGCAGCAUAAGAUGGAUCCGAAAGGACUCCCUUCUCUUCGUUCAGUGGCGAGACACAAGGGAUGUGUUCCUGUGCUCAACCCUCCACACAGCCCAUGCUGGGGACACUGUUCAAAGGAGAGUUAGAGAUGCAGAUGGACACUGGGUGCUGAAAGACAUCUCUGUUCCACCAGCAGUGAAGGAGUAUAAUCGGUGCAUGGGUGGGGUGGACCACUCCGAUGCCUUGAUAAACUACUAUAAAGUCAUCCACAAGACUCAGAGGUGGUAUAAGACAUUUUUUUAUCAUUUUCUGGACAUUGCUGUUGUGAAUGCCUUCCUGCUUCACAAGAGCAUCACAAAGGGUAAAGGAGAGGUACCCAUGCACCAAAAGGCUUUUCGGGAGACACUUAUUGAGGAGCUGGCAGUGGCAGCUGGCAGCCUUGCUCCAUCGCCCGCACCAUCACCCUCUCCAAACAGAGCACAUCACAAGCCUGUGCAUAUCAGUGGACACAGCACCACAGGUCGUCUGAGGUGCAGACACUGCCAGGCAAAGACACCAGUAAAGUGCUCCUCCUGUGAUGUGCCUUUGUGCUUUUUGCCAAGUCGAGAUUGUUAUAAAGACUGGCAUGAUGCCAAUGAUCUCUAAAAAAUAUAAUUGUAAAAAUACAUUUGUGUGAAAAACUAUAUAUAUAUUUAUACACCCACAGAUGCAUAUACAUAAUGUGUAUAUAUAGUGAGUUUUAAUGCCAUAAUAAUUUUUUUUCCCUUUACAAAGGGCCAUUUGGAGUCUCCAAGUGGCCUUUUUUGGGUAGCGCCUAUACAUAGACCUAAAUAAACUUGCAUAGAACACUCAUUUUCUAAGAUAUUGUUAUCAAAUUUGAAUUGUGGCUUGGUAAGGCUUCAUGCUUUGAUCCUGUUGUGUUUUCCAGCUAAUACCUCACAAGGUAGGCAUCUGCAUGCAUUCCUUACAAAAAAAAACUUGGGCGGAUUUUUUUUUCUCUCUUUUUUAGUGUGUUCAAAGUUCUAUUACUCAAUAGCAGUAUGACAUAAAGUGAUUCUGACACCUCAGGAACAAACUACAGAUUGUCUCCUUUCAAAAGAGACCAAAACCAUGCAUAUACUCCAAAUGGUUCAAGAGCAGCAUGCAAUUUAUUUUGGAUAUGCCUUUUUCACAAAUUUUAGGCAAAAUUUGUAGGACUGCUAAGGGGUUAAAGUAUUAAAUGUAAUUUAUUUCAAUUAAAUCUUUGUUUACUGACAAAUACAACUCUCUUGAUCUAUAUUUCAGUGAUGACAAUUUGUAGUAGGUACAUCUGUGUGUUCAAUAAAGCAUCUUUUUUGUAAAUCAAA